AAGACCUUGCGCUUUUGGAGCGGCCGAUGCCUGAUUAGCUUGUUGGUAAGGUAAAAGCUUACCAAGGCUUCGAUCAGUAGCUGGUCUGAGAGGACGACCAGCCACACUGGGACUGAGACACGGCCCAGACUCCUAUGGGAGGCAGCAGUGGGGAAUUUUGGACAAUGGGGGCAACCCUGAUCCAGCCAUGCCGCGUGAGUGAAGAAGGCCUUCGGGUUGUAAAGCUCUUUCAGCCGGAACGAAACGGUUACGAAUAACACCCGUGACUACUGACGGUACCGGAAGAAGAAGCACCGGCUAACUACGUGCCAGCAGCCGCGGUAAUACGUAGGGUGCGAGCGUUAAUCGGAAUUACUGGGCGUAAAGCGUGCGCAGGUGGUUUUGUAAGUCAGAUGUGAAAGCCCCGGGCUCAACCUGGGAACU
rnacentral:rRNA from 1 species